GAGAAGAAUGAUCUUGCUGAAAAGCUGAGGACUGCAGAAGCUGAGAAGAAAAACUUGGCCGAAAAAUCGAGAAGAUUGACUUCACAGAAUGAAGCUAAAGAAGCAGCACGAUGGUCACUUUUAGAUGAAGUCCAUAGGUUGAGACAGGAGAAACAAAAGGAAGAAGAAAUUGAAUACUACAAGACACAUAAUUAUGCGAUGAAACAGCGGUUGGAUAUAUCAAUGGGGAAGAUCCAAUCCCUUGAGAAUUCACUGCAUGAAGGCAGGCAAAAAAUUACCAGCCUCAUGGGAUUUGUCCAGGAAAAUCUGCCAAUGGAGCAACUGCAAGCACUGCUAAACAUUCAUGAAAAUUGCCUGCAAAUAUUCGAAGCUAUCCAACAACUUAGGAGAAACUUUCUGUGCUGAAACCGCAAUGAGAUUACUCAGUCAUGUACACCUGUCUUCCUAAUGUAAAGCUGUAACUGAAACAAUCACUUCUAAGAAAAUUAUACAUAAUCAACCAUCACAAUAAGGGAAAAACAAUAUGGACCAAUAAAUAAAACAACCAACGCAAUGAGUUGGCAGCUGCAAUUUACAAACCAAUGUAUCAAAUAUUAUGUACAAAUUUUAUCAAUAACAGGAUUAAAGUUGACCGCUUUUACUUUAUUAAAACACAAUUAUGUGAUGGUCUGAUUCCCACAAGUACAGAAGUUCAACAGGUGGAAAAGGGUUUGUGAAACUUUACAGUGAAUCAGAAAUUCAUUUCCCUCUUACCACGUCGACGAAAUCAUCAUCAGUGAGCCAGUCAUUUGACUCCUCACCUUCAGAAUCUUUAUCUCGACAACUUGUUUGGCCUGCUUUCUGCAAAGCACCACGAGUUUCUGGUCUCUUGUCCAGCUGAACCCAGUCAUUGGAUCCACUGGAUGAAAGAGCUUUGUUAUGCUGUGUUGACUUACGCACUGAUGCUCUAU